AAGACUAUACUUCACAGGAUCAUUUCUGUAGUAAGUCUUCAUUACUUUCCGAUGAAAAUUGGAAUUUUUACACAACUAUGAGGAAGAGUUAAAUCGUCUUUUCUGGAGCGUGAGGUUUGAGUUAAGUUCGCAAUUUAUUGUGAAAUUAAUUUGUCGAUGAUCGCUUGUUAAAAACAGAUAAGACGAAUUCAGAGUAGU